rnacentral:rRNA from 1 species
GACGAACGCUGGCGGCGUGCUUAACACAUGCAAGUCGAACGGGCCCGCCCCUGUUUUUGGGGGUGGGUUGAGUGGCGAACGGGUGAGUAUCACGUGAGUAACCUGCCCCCUGCUCCUGGAUAACUGCUUGAAAGGGCGGCUAAUACGGGGUGUGCCGGCUGGUCCGCAUGGGCCUGGUCGGGAUAGUUUCAUCUUCGGGUGUUUCGGUGGGGGAUGGGCUCGCGGCCUAUCAGCUUGUUGGUGGGGUGAUGGCCCACCAAGGUGGUGACGGGUAGCCGGCCUGAGAGGGUGGGCGGCCACACUGGGACUGAGACACGGCCCAGACUCCUGCGGGAGGCAGCAGUGGGGGGUAUUGCACAAUGGGCGGAAGCCUGAUGCAGCGACGUCGCGUGAGGGAUGGAGGCCUUCGGGUUGUGAACCUCUUUCUCCGGUGGUGAAGGCCCUGUCCGUUGCGGCGGGGUUGACGGUAGCCGGGUAUGAAGCGCCGGCUAACUACGUG